AAUGCAGAGAGUGUAAAUUCAUCCACCCGGAUGUCCAGACCCUGCUGAAACAUUAUCUCCUGAGACACUGAGGGGGUCAUCAAGGUGACGGCGAUAGCAGAACAUAGGAGGAGAGUGGCCUUGGAAGGAUUGCCCAUUUACCUCAAGGAGGAUGCAUCAAAUCUUUUCAAGACAUGUCUGGACACAGAUGAAGAGGAGGAUUACACCAAAGGUGUAAAAAUUGCCAUACUGACAGUCUUUGAGGAUGAUGUAGCAUCCGUUACGUCCCUACCUACGGUCAUCAACAUUGGCGUGAUUUUGGAAGAGAGUGUCAUCGUUCAGGGCAUAAAGGACCUUCCUUCAGCAGUCGCAUACUUGUUUGGCCUGCUGUAUUGCAUCAACAUGGAAUACCCCAAAAACCUGAGAUACACUUUUGAGGUUUUACAGAAAGUUUUCCUUGACAUGGGAGCACACUGCUGCUCUGCACGAGCUCAAUCACUCCGAGGUAAAAUGCAGAAAUGUCUGCGCUAAUGUGGCAAG